rnacentral:rRNA from 1 species
AUGGCAGAGUAUUUGGCUGUGAUUAGUACAUUAAAACGUGGUCAUAUAUGGCGUGUAGGAGAUGGAACUAAUAUUGAUAUCUGGAAAGACGAAUGGAUCCCAAAUAGUGCAUCAUGUAAAGUUAUAACUAGAAGGGGUGAGAACAUCUUUAGUAGGGUGAGCGACCUUAUUGAUCCUAUCACAAAUCACUGGGAUGUCGAUUUAGUGAGGCAGACCUUUUGGCAAGUGGAUGUUCAAAAGAUUCUUGCUAUACCUUUAUCAUCUUCUGGCAUGCAAGAUUUUGUUGCUUGGAACCUGACUCGUACAAACACCUUUUCUGUGCGCUCAGCUUAUUAUGCAGAAUGGGAGGGCCAAUAUGGCCAAAGGUUAAACUGA